rnacentral:piRNA from 1 species
UAAGAUUAUUUUAUCAGUGAGACUUGAGAACC